rnacentral:rRNA from 1 species
CCCUUAGAGUUUGAUCCUGGCUCAGAUUGAACGCUGGCGGCAUGCCUUACACAUGCAAGUCGAACGGCAGCGCGGGGGCAACCCUGGCGGCGAGUGGCGAACGGGUGAGUAACAUAUCGGAACGUGCCCUGGAGUGGGGGAUAACUAGUCGAAAGAUUAGCUAAUACCGCAUACGAUCUCAGGAUGAAAGUGGGGGACCGCAAGGCCUCACGCUCGUGGAGCGGCCGAUAUCUGAUUAGCUAGUUGGCGGGGUAUGAGCCCACCAAGGCGACGAUCAGUAGCUGGUCUGAGAGGACGACCAGCCACACUGGGACUGAGACACGGCCCAGACUCCUACGGGAGGCAGCAGUGGGGAAUUUUGGACAAUGGGGGCAACCCUGAUCCAGCAAUGCCGCGUGAGUGAAGAAGGCCUUCGGGUUGUAGAGCUCUUUUGUCCGGAAAGAAAUCCCCUGGGAUAAUACCCCGGGGGGAUGACGGUACCGGAAGAAUAAGCACCGGCUAACUACGUGCCAGCAGCCGCGGUAAUACGUAGGGUGCAAGCGUUAAUCGGAAUUACUGGGCGUAAAGCGUGCGCAGGCGGUUGUGCAAGACAGAUGUGAAAUCCCCGGGCUUAACCUGGGAACUGCAUUUGUGACUGCACGGCUAGAGUGUGUCAGAGGGGGGGUAGAAUUCCACGUGUAGCAGUGAAAUGCGUAGAGAUGUGGAGGAAUACCGAUGGCGAAGGCAGCCCCCUGGGAUAACACUGACGCUCAUGCACGAAAGCGUGGGGAGCAACAGAUAGAUACCCUGGUAGUCACGCCCUAAACGAUGUCACUAGUUGUCGGGUCUAAUUGACUGGUACGCAGCUAACGCGUGAGUGACCGCCUGGGGAGUACGUCGCAGAUAAACUCAAAGGAUUGA